AUGACAACCAAUCUUGCAGAGGUUUAUAACUUUGUACUCAGAGGGAAUAGAGAAUUGCCACUUACAGCUAUUGUGGAGGCCGUAUUCCAUGGCACUUUGAGAUAUUUCAGAGAAAGGCAUGAGUUAGCAAGGAAGCAUAUUGCAGAUAAUCAGAACACACCUUAUUGUAGCCGUGUCAUGGAGUACAUGGCAAAGAAGAUAGAGAAAGCAAAGAAGCACACUGUCAGACUGAUAGGUAAUCAGGAAAGGAGGUAUGAGGUUCAGCUUCCUACCGAUGGUUUUGGUUCUGGAAAUGAGGUGAAGACGCACGAGGUAAAAAUUGGAACAGAAUUUCAUCCAACGUGUGAGUGCACAUGCAACGAACCAAAGUUGUUGCACCUACCUUGCUCACAUGUGUUGGCUGCCUGUGGCCAGAUUGAGUUGGACGCUAUGUCCUUCGUGUCGCCAUACUAUUUAAAAUAUGCAAUACUCAACACAUGGACAGGUGAGAUGACAGGGUUUAGAGUCGUCGGCAAUUUCAACAAGGUAAACGACGGUGAGAGAGUAUACAUCCCAGAUCCAGGACUUUGCCGAACAAGUAGGGGCAGACGAAAGGCCCGUCGCAUCCGAAACGAUAUGGACCAAUCUGAAGCUGGUGGAGCAACCAGACAAUAUUUGUUAUGCGCGGCUUAUGGGCAUAUGAUGAAAUAU
rnacentral:rRNA from 1 species